rnacentral:lncRNA from 1 species
UGACUAAGCUCUGCACUGAACUAACUACUAGAAACAGACUUGGGUUUUUCCAAAGAUGAUCAUCAAUGCACCAACAAAAAUUGGAGCCUCCACGGUGAGGGAAACAGGCAGAAAAACAGACGCUAAAGAACUUCUGUGUGAAGAAGCAUGAUCUCCCGUACAUCUCUAGAGAAGACAAAGCUUUGUCGCCUGUAGAAAAUAAAUAUGCUACAAAUCUACCUAAGAUACAGUCAGUGCAGCCCCAACAAGGCCAGAAAAUUCUCAGAAGAGAAAUCAGAAAGACACGUACUGCAACUUCAUUGCAAAAGGAUGGAAGAUGGAAGCAGAAUGCUCCAAGGGAGGACCCCACCUGUCAAGUGCAGACAGACCUCCACAGAACUAGUAAGGACCACAGUGAGAACUUAAGAUCUGCAUUCCAGACCAAGCAGCACCACAAUUUCCUUGGGAGUUGUGCUCUUAAAGCUUGCCUUCAUGCCCUGCUUUGAAGGGAAAAGGUGAGUAUUAAUACUAUGGGAUGCAGCAGCAUUUCCAAUAAGCUUACAGGAAUACCACUGCAAAAAGACAUCUUGCACAAAACAUAGGAUAAAGAUGAUGGUACUGUAUUAGCAUGCCUUCUACCCAGAAUCUUCUUCCUUCACAUUCUCCUAGAAGCUAAUUCAUUUAUUUUGGUUUUUUUUAAGCAUUCUCUUAUCAUCAUAUGUACUUUUAGCAACUCUGUUUUGACUGUACAGACCUUUCAUUUUCCCUAGUUCUCUAAGAGAAAAAAAGUAUCACAUGGCCAAUUCUGAAAUGGACAAGAAUUGAUGUGUUCUGAAAUAAAUAUCUGCUCUUGUUUUGUGUUAUCUGGAGA